rnacentral:rRNA from 1 species
UACGGAGGGUGCAAGCGUUAUCCGGAUUCACUGGGUUUAAAGGGUGCGUAGGCGGACAGGUAAGUCAGUGGUGAAAUCUCUGGGCUUAACCCAGAAACUGCCGUUGAUACUAUUUGUCUUGAAUAUCCUGGAGGUAGGCGGAAUAUGUCAUGUAGCGGUGAAAUGCUUAGAUAUAACAUAGAACACCGAUAGCGAAGGCAGCUUACUACAGGAUGAUUGACGCUGAGGCACGAAAGCGUGGGGAGCAAACAGG